CCAGCCUGCUGUCUGCACUUCAUUUUCAUAACAGCUCAGUGGAAUGUGCUCAUGCCUUUGUUUGUCCCUCUUCAGAGAAAGGGAAAUUGCUACACAAAGGGAGGGUCCAGCCCAUUGUGGGUGGGGCCAUCCCUAGUCCGGUGGUCCUGGAUUCCAUAAGAAAGCAGACAGAACCAGCCAUGACGAGCAAGCCAGUAAGCAGCACCCUUCCAUGGCCUCUCUAUCAGAUCCUGCCUCUGGGUUCCUGCCCUGUCUGAGCACCUAUCCUGACUUCCUUCAAGGCUGAACAGUGAUGUGGACUUGAAAGUUAUCACAGCAGUGAGAAGAGUUGUCUACUGAACAACUUGAGCACACACCUACCAAAUGCACCUUCCUGGAGUGUUCAUGACAGAUCACAGCACUAUGCUUUUUUAAAGUUUCUGUUUUACAUUCCUAAGAAUAACUGAAAUACUGUGCAUGCGGCUUAUACGGCUCUCUGUCUGAUCCCUGCACUACCACUCUGUACUACGGUCACAGCCGCGUCUCAGUGACUCACCACUUCUUUCUGUCACUGAGGCUUCUACACUGUCCCCACUUUUUAAAACUCUUUUAUUUUCCGUUUUAUUCUACACAACUCUCUUCCUGAUUUAUGAGCUCGCGAUAGUCCGUGCUGACGUCAUAUUUUUAGUCCCACCUCUUCCUGUGCUCUUCGUGGUUCUCACUAUUUUGCAUGUUUUACAUUUACCAUGAACAACUUUCAUUAUAAUGUAUUUUUUUCUCUCCUACUAGACAAAAAUCCCCAGGAAGAAAUAAGCAGCAUCCCUCUCGAUGACCCCUGUGCCUAGAAUAUAGCAGACUCGUAAACACUUAUGAAAGGAAACUCAGUGUGACUUUUAGAUUGAAUUCUAAUUUCAAGACAACUCCUCAAACAAUUCGCCACAGAACAGACCAUUAGAGUUAUGGGAUAAGAUACCAUGAUCAGAAACAAUUUACAGAAAGAAGAGUCUUGGGUUCCAGAGAGAGUCCAUGAUGUCUGAGAGAGGCUUGGCAACAUGGGCCCAGAAAAGGAAGCUGAGAGAUUACAUCUUCAACUGCAAGCAUGGUACAGAGAGCAAACUGGAAGUGCAUUGAGGCUGUGAACUCUCGGAGACCUCCUAAAACGAUUUCCAUCCUCCAGCAAGGCCAUAAAUACCACAUCCCUCAUCAUGUCGUCAAAUGGGAAUCAAGUGCUUCAAUACAAAAGCCUAUGGAGGACAUUCAUAUUUAAACCACUGUAUUCAACAUGCCCAGAGCCUUCUUUAUUAGCUGCUUUCUAGAACUGCCACACUAUUGUUCACACACACACACACACACACACACACACACACACACACACACACCACAAUGUGUCUAUAUAUAUACAUGAAAGAGAAAACACUGUAAGACGGUUCUGGGGAUGGUGACACCUUCCUUUAAUUCCAGCACUUGGGAGGUAGAGGCAGGCAGCUCUCUGAGUUCAAGACUAUCCUGGUCUAUAUCCAGGACACCCAGGACUAUACAAAAAAAAAAAAAAAAAGAGGGAGUAGGGAGAGGUGAGGAGAGAACACAUUUAAAAGCCUUGAUUAAACAAUUUAGUUUCCUAAGUACAGUUUUCUAGUUUUAAUUAAUAUACAAAAAACAGACUAUCAAAAGUGGGUACAUUUAUAUCUGAUUUUCCAUCAGCACCAUAUAAAUGUUUUCAUCAUGUAUAGCAGGACUGCUUAUUUGAUACCCAAGUAGACACAGCUAAUGAGUGUAGAUAGAUAGAUAGAUAGAUAGAUAGAUAGAUAGAUAGGCAGAUAGAUAGAUAGAUAGAUAGAUAGAU
rnacentral:lncRNA from 1 species